AACGAACGCUGGCGGCAUGCCUAACACAUGCAAGUCGAACGAGACCUUCGGGUCUAGUGGCGCACGGGUGCGUAACGCGUGGGAACCUGCCCUUAGGUUCGGAAUAACUCCCCGAAAGGGGUGCUAAUACCGGAUAAUGUCUUCGGACCAAAGAUUUAUCGCCUUUGGAUGGGCCCGCGUUGGAUUAGCUAGUUGGUAGGGUAAAAGCCUACCAAGGCGACGAUCCAUAGCUGGUCUGAGAGGAUGAUCAGCCACACUGGGACUGAGACACGGCCCAGACUCAUACGGGAGGAAGAGGGGGGGAAAAUGGGACAAGGGGAAAAAGCUUGAGCAAGAAAGGCCGCGGGAGUGAGAAGGGCGUGGGGGUGGAAAAGCUUUUUUACCAGGGAGAAAAAGGACAGUCCCGGGAGAAUAGGCGCCGGCUAACCCGGUC
rnacentral:rRNA from 1 species